rnacentral:rRNA from 1 species
CAGUCGCCGCGGUAAUACGUAGGGCGCAAGCGUUAUCCGGAAUUAUUGGGCGUAAAGAGCUCGUAGGCGGUUUGUCGCGUCUGCCGUGAAAGUCCGUGGCUCAACCCCGGAUCUGCGGUGGGUACGGGCGGACUAGAGUGAUGUAGGGGAGACUGGAAUUCCUGGUGUAGCGGUGAAAUGCGCAGAUAUCAGGAGGAACACCGAUGGCGAAGGCAGGUCUCUGGGCAUUAACUGACGCUGAGGAGCGAGAGCAUGGGGAGCGAACAGGAUUAGAUACCCCAGUAGUCCCUGUCUCUUAUAC